AGUGAACGCUGGCGGUAGGCCUAACACAUGCAAGUCGAACGGCAGCACAGUAAGAGCUUGCUCUUACGGGUGGCGAGUGGCGGACGGGUGAGGAAUACAUCGGAAUCUACUUUUUCGUGGGGGAUAACGUAGGGAAACUUAUGCUAAUACCGCAUACGACCUACGGGUGAAAGCAGGGGAUCUUCGGACCUUGCGCGAUUGAAUGAGCCGAUGUCGGAUUAGCUAGUUGGCGGGGUAAAGGCCCACCAAGGCGACGAUCCGUAGCUGGUCUGAGAGGAUGAUCAGCCACACUGGAACUGAGACACGGUCCAGACUCCUACGGGAGGCAGCAGUGGGGAAUAUUGGACCAUGGGCGCAAGCCUGAUCCAGCCAUACCGCGUGGGUGAAGAAGGCCUUCGGGUUGUAAAGCCCUUUUGUCGGGAAAGAAAAGCAGCAGGUUAAUACCCCGCUGUUCUGACGGUACCCAAAGAAUAAGCACCGGCUAACUUCGUG
rnacentral:rRNA from 1 species